UACGGGGGGGGCAAGCGUUGUUCGGAAUUACUGGGCGUAAAGGGCUCGUAGGCGGCCAACUAAGUCAGACGUGAAAUCCCUCGGCUUAACCGGGGAACUGCGUCUGAUACUGGAUGGCUUGAGUUUGGGAGAGGGAUGCGGAAUUCCAGGUGUAGCGGUGAAAUGCGUAGAGAUCAGGAGGAACACCCGUGGCGAAAGCGGCCCCCUGGAUCGGCCCUGACGCUGAGGCGCGAAAGCGUGGGGAUCAAACAGG
rnacentral:rRNA from 1 species